rnacentral:rRNA from 1 species
CACGUAGGCACCAAGCGUUGUCCGGAUUUAUUGGGCGUAAAGAGCUCGUAGGCGGUUCGAUAAGUCGGGUGUGAAAACUUUGGGCUCAACCCAAAGCGUGCAUUCGAUACUGUUGUGACUAGAGUUCGGUAGGGGAGUGGGGAAUUCCUAGUGUAGCGGUGAAAUGCGCAGAUAUUAGGAGGAACACCGGUGGCGAAGGCAGCUCUCUGGUACGUGACUGACGCUGAGACGCGAAAGCGUGGGUAGCAAACAGG